GAGUAGAAAAUUGAUUCACCUCACUCCUUAAUGCAGAGAACUAGGAGGGAUCAAUGGAGUGAAAAUCGACAGGACGGCUGCCACGGUUGGAGGGGUUGGCCACCAACAGAACCAAACCCGCAGCGGGACCAAACUAAGAACUUGAGCCAGUGGAUGCCAUCUUCCUCUUUGAUUUGGUCUUGCAACGAUCAGACACAAGUUCCUCGUCCUGGAUAUCAGGCACAAAAUCAGGGUCAUCAACCCUGUAUAGGAAGGAUUUGCACGACCCGAUGCCUUCUAGAGAGGAUGAGCAGAAUCUUUAGAACC
rnacentral:lncRNA from 1 species